UACAGAGGGUGCGAGCGUUGUCCGGAAUCACUGGGCGUAAAGGGCGCGUAGGUGGCUAGGUAAGCGUGUGGUGAAAGUCCGGGGCUCAACCCCGGAUCUGCCGUGCGAACUGCCAGGCUUGAGCAAUGUAGAGGCAGGUGGAAUUUCGGGUGUAGCGGUGAAAUGCGUUGAUAUCCUAAGGAACACCGGUAGCGAAAGCGGCUCACUGGGUCUUUUCUGACGCUGAGGCACGAAAGCUAGGGUAGCGAACGGG
rnacentral:rRNA from 1 species